UGAACCUACGCAGUUUUAUAUUAAAAUACUGACACACACCAGUUUGCCAUCUCAGUAUGCAAGGCAAGGGUGCUUGGUGAGGUGCUGGAACUUGAUGUACAUGUAUCAUUAAGUUAAUACAGUUCUGUUAGGAUUGACUGCCUUUUUACAGAGACUUUCUAUUCUUACUGUUAUCAUUUAGUAUAGACGGUUCCUGGCUUAGAAUGAUUCUCUGCUCAGCAAAUGGGCAAGAACAUGAAAGAUAAAGGGGAAACUAUAAACAGAAGAAAUUAUCAACAAAAUAAGAUUUACAGAGGUCAACAAAGCCUAAAUGGUCAGACAUCUCGAUUUUCAUGGUCAUCAUUCACAGAUCAAUACUGAACGGAAAACUUAAAGCUGAUAUUUUUCUCCAUAGUGCGACUUUUUUAUUAACUUGAAAUGGAACAUGUUUUUUCCUACAUUUAUUUGAAAGAGGAAAUUUCAACAUGAUGACUAUAAACAAAAAGGAGUCAUAUCAUCACGAUCAUUGAUGCACAAGAACUUGAUCAUAUAAAUACAACAAUGUAAUUAUCAAUUGAAAGAUGGAACGACUGAACAAGAUAUUAGAAUGUUGUUGUCCAAAUAAACUUGCUUUGUCUUCUCAUUUGAAUCUCUCCAUUCAAUAAAGAUGUACAGAGGAAGAUCUUUGAAGAACAGAUUGAAAAAAUGUUUUGUCUAAGAAUUGCAGGAAUAUUCUAGUGAAUGAAAUUAUUUAUUGACUUCACUCUUAUAUAGUGGACUGAAUAAUUGUACAUAGCAAGUUGUGAAUAAAGAAAGCAAAAACUUUAACAAAAAGUGUUUAUAUUAUAAAUUUGCAAAUAUAAGCAUACUAUUUUGUACACCACAAAGGUAUAUAUAAUUCAAAUUGUUUGCCUAUACAAGUAUUGCAAUGAACCUAUAACAAAGAAAAUCUUACCUCAUGAAAAGAGUGAACUAUUCAGUCAGAAUAUGAAAUAUUUUUUCAGUUCUAUUUUUCAUAAUAGAAUAAACAAGACAAAGAUUUCAAAACAAUAUUUUUUCAUUUAUUUAGAAAUUUCAUCAUUUUGUUUCAGUGAAAGGACUUUAUUCUUUGACUGUAAAAUAUUAUU